rnacentral:rRNA from 1 species
CAGCAGCCACGGGAAUACGAAGGGGGCUAGCGUUGCUCGGAAUGACUGGGCGUAAAGGGCGCGUAGGCGGCGGCCAAAGUCAGGCGUGAAAUUCCCGGGCUCAACCUGGGGGCUGCGUUUGAUACUUGGUUGCUUGAGUGGGGAAGAGGGUCGUGGAAUUCCCAGUGUAGAGGUGAAAUUCGUAGAUAUUGGGAAGAACACCGAUGGCGAAGGCAGCCCCCUGGGCCAACACUGACGCUCAUGCACGAAAGCGUGGGGAGCAAACAGGAUUAGAUACCCCAGUAGUCCCUGUCUCUUAUAC